UAAACGUCUGUAGGCAACGGAUAUCUUGUCUCUUGCAUCGAUGAAGAAGGUAAAGAAAAGCGAUAGUUGGUGUGAAAGGCAGAAUCCCGCCAACCAUUGAGUCUUUGCAAGCAAGUUGCGCCCGCAGCCAGUAGGGGGCGGGCCCGCCUGGGUGGGCCUCGCAGG
rnacentral:rRNA from 1 species